UAUUUUGGCUUUUGAUAUAUAUCGAUAUCGGAUCGAAAUUUACAAAUUAGUAUCGAUAGAAUCGAUUCCUUUUCAUAUUUUUAUCUUUGAUACAUUUCAAUAUCAGAUCAAGAUUCGCAAACUUGUAUCGAUAGUCAUAUCAUUAAGAAUAAAUAGAAAGAAGAAAACAAUUUGUAGUGACAUUGUUCGAAGAAGAAAAAUACUAGGUAAGGAAAGUAGCAGCAAUGGUGGUGCUUCACAGAACCCGUAAAAGUGAUUUGUUCUGCUAUUAACGAGACGCGGAUAGCAGGAACGUUAAUGGAAAAUUAUCGACAGUUACGAGACUCGAUACACCGUUACGACUGGUGAACGUCGUAAAUAACAGUCGGUUAUAUGUUUGAAAAUACCUUAAAGGCGUGCUAGUUUCUUGCAACGUAGCGAGUUAACCUAUAACCGGAAUGUGUCGAGCGAUUUUGAACUCGAAACAUCUUUAAAACGCAAAUUUUUCAAACAUAAAUAGAAGAAACUUCGAAAAUAUUUCGCAUCUUUUUGAUAGAAAAGAAAAGUAAGUAUCACGAAAAAUCGUAAACUUUAUUCUACUUGAAGAAAUAUUUCAUAUUUUCGAAAGGAAGACAAGGGGAUUAGAAACGUUCUAACCUCAAAUGUUUUAACGUCAAACUCGAAGAAUAAGAUAUGCCAUUUUCGAAGAAAAAGAAAAAUAUUAUCGAGUCUUUUUUCUAUAAAAAAAAAAUCAAAAAAAAAAUGGAAAUAUCAAAAAUUACGAGUUAGUUAAAAAAACGUAAGGAGUGACAAGUUCCAUCUUUUCCCGAAAAUAAAGGAUAGAAAAGAAAAAACAGAAAAUCAAAAGUUGUUCAAUUGGUGGAUAAAUAAGAAAGAAAGGAAAAAAUGAAAUAAGGGAUGAAGAAAGAAAGAGAGAAGGAAUAAUGGCAACGUCCCUGAAUGAGAAAGCGGUUCGAUGCACUUGCACGAUUCUUUCCUUUGCAUCUCUACUCCGCCUUCCGUAUAGACGUGUUGCAACACGAGGGAAACCACUGUACAAGAUAAUGCUAGGACGAUGUACACUAGGUGGAGAAGAAACGGAAGAUUGAACCGAUUGGAAAGCCCUCCUAGGUUUUUUAUAAUUAUUCUAUUAACUGUAAUUGAUUAGACUGAUAUCGUAAAUGACAAUGUUCAAGAAUUCUAUGCAUAAAUAAAAUUUUCAUCACGUUAAAAAGAAUUUUCUUUACCUCGUAUGGAAAGCCUUGAAUAUUAUUAUAUAAAAGGAAAUUGAAAUUCGAAGAAUUUUUUUCCAGUUAUGCAAAAUAAAGAUAAAAAAGCCUCGUGAAGAGGAAAAAGCAUGUCGAUUAGAUGAUUACCAGCGAUUAUAAAGCGAUUCGAUCGAGCGGAUCAAGAAGAUUCGAAAUCGCUACGAGUCACUCCACUUAAAGCGAUCAAAAUGGUUGAUCGCGACGUCGCUAUCCGCAUUAUUAUCAAUAAGUUCGUCUCGAGAAGCAAUUCGAAUGAAGCUACGCCGACGUUUAUGUCGUGGACCCUCGUCAAUCAUUAUUUACCGACGGGACACAGUGGUCGCUUGGUUGUCUUCGAUUCCUCUGCGCCUUAUCGAGCAAUCGUUUUAUUUUAAAACAAUAAUCUAUUAUCUUCUACAUAGAAUAACCCCUACUGAUAUUAACUAUACUAUAUAAUAAUUGAUCUUUUACGUAAAAAAAAAAAAAAAAAAAAUAGAU